UACAGAGGUCUCAAGCGUUGUUCGGAAUUACUGGGCGUAAAGGGUGCGCAGGCCGCGCGGGCAGUCAAAUGUGUAAUUCAGGGGCUCAACCCCUGCACUGCGCUUGAUACUUCCGCGCUCGAACCUUGGAGAGGAGUCUGGAAUUCUCGGUGUAGCAGUGAAAUGCGUGGAUAUCGAGAAGAACACUUAGGGCGAAGGCAGGUCUCUGGGCAUUAACUGACGCUGAGGAGCGAAAGCAUGGGGAGCGAACAGG
rnacentral:rRNA from 1 species